GAAUAUUAGUCAAUGAUCGAAAGAUUGAUCUAGUUACUUAGAAAGAUGAAGAUUAUAAAAAAAAGAAUAAAAAAAGAAAAUAAUAAUGAAGAAUAUAAAAUCAAUAUAUAUAUAAAAGAAUAAUGAUGAUUAUAUAUAUAGAAGUCUUAACCAAAAUUAGUGCCAGCAGUUGCGGCUAAACUAAGGAGGCAAACGUUAAUCAUUAAUGGCUUAAAGGAUCCGUAGAAUGAUAUGUAAAAAUACAUAUUAGAGUUAAAUUGAAUAAUUAUGAAAAAUUAUAUUGAGAGAUGAAAUGUGUGGAAAAUAAUUAGACAAAUAAACGUGAAGAUAAAAUUAAAGAUUUAACUGACAUUGAGGGAUGAAGGCAUGAUUAGCAAAACGGAUUAGAUACCCGAGUAGUUCAUGCAGUAAACGAUGAAUACUAUAAAAGAAAUAAGCGAAAGCUAAAGUAUUCCGCCAGGAGAGUAUAGCUUCAAAGUUGAAAUCCAAGACAAUAGACGGUUACAGUUGUAGGCAGUGGAUUGUGUUAUUUAAU
rnacentral:rRNA from 1 species